rnacentral:tRNA from 1 species
GACAGCUUGGCCCGAGUGGUUAAGGCGAUAGACUAGAAAUCUAUUGGGGUAACCCGCGUGAGUUCAAAUCUCACAGCUGUCG